GGACCUGACUGCUAUCGGAUUGAUACUAAGCCAUGCGAGUCAUUGUAGCAAUACAAGGCAUACGGCUCAGUAACGCGUAGUCAACCUAACCUAUGGACGGGAAUAACCUCGGGAAACUGAGAAUAAUGCCCGAUAGAACAUUAUGCCUGGAAUGGUUUAUGUUCCAAAUGAUUUAUCGCCGUAGGAUGGGACUGCGGCCUAUCAGUUUGUUGGUGAGGUAAUGGCCCACCAAGACUAUUACAGGUACGGGCUCUGAGAGGAGUAGCCCGGAGAUGGGUACUGAGACACGGACCCAGGCCCUAUGGGGCGCAGCAGGCGAGAAAACUUUGCAAUGUGCGAAAGCACGACAAGGUUAAUCCGAGUGGUUUCUGCUAAAGAAACCUUUUGUCAGUCCUAGAAACACUGAUGAAUAAGGGGUGGGCGAGUUCUGGUGUCAGCU
rnacentral:rRNA from 1 species